rnacentral:rRNA from 1 species
CCUACGGGAGGCAGCAGUGGGGAAUAUUGCACAAUGGGGGAAACCCUGAUGCAGCGACGCCGCGUGAGUGAAGAAGUAUUUCGGUAUGUAAAGCUCUAUCAGCAGGGAAGAAGUUGACGGUACCUGAGUAAGAAGCCCCGGCUAACUACGUGCCAGCAGCCGCGGUAAUACGUAGGGGGCAAGCGUUAUCCGGAUUUACUGGGUGUAAAGGGAGCGUAGACGGCAGUGCAAGUCUUAAGUGAAAUCCCC